rnacentral:rRNA from 1 species
UACAGAGGGUGCGAGCGUUGUCCGGAAUCACUGGGCGUAAAGGGCGCGUAGGUGGCGGCCCAAGUCCAUGGUGAAAGCUCGAUGCUCAACAUCGAGUCGGCCACGGAUACUGGGUUGCUCGAGCACUGUAGGGGCAGAUGGAAUUCCGGGUGUAGCGGUGGAAUGCGUAGAGAUCCGGAAGAACACCGGUGGCGAAGGCGGUCUGCUGGGCAGUUGCUGACACUGAGGCGCGACAGCCAGGGGAGCGAACGGG